UGAAGAGUUUGAUCCUGGCUCAGAUUGAACGCUGGCGGCAGGCCUAACACAUGCAAGUCGAGCGCGUCCUUCGGGACGAGCGGCGCACGGGUGAGUAACGCGUGGGAACGUACCCUUUGGUGGGGGAUAACCGCUGGAAACGGCGGCUAAUACCGCAUAAGCCGGAGACGGGAAAGAUUUAUCGCCAAGGGAUCGGCCCGCGUUGGAUUAGGUAGUUGGUGUGGUAACGGCGCACCAAGCCUUCGAUCCAUAGCUGGUCUGAGAGGAUGAUCAGCCACACUGGGACUGAGACACGGCCCAGACUCCUACGGGAGGCAGCAGUGGGGAAUAUUGCACAAUGGGGGAAACCCUGAUGCAGCCAUGCCGCGUGUGUGAAGAAGGCCUUAGGGUUGUAAAGCACUUUCAGACGUGAGGAAAGUUUGUUGGUUAAUACCCAACAGAUGUGACGUUAGCGUCAGAAGAAGCACCGGCUAACUCCGUGCCAGCAGCCGCGGUAAUACGGAGGGUG
rnacentral:rRNA from 9 species